rnacentral:lncRNA from 1 species
UCUUUCCAAGAAUUCAUGGCAGAAAUGGCCAAGCAAAGGUUGUCAAGGAAAUAGGGAUGGUUGGGAAAAGAAGGAUCUAGGAAGAAGAAAAGAACCAUGGAGUCAGGAGAGAGAAGAGUUUCAGAGCUGCGUUACCAGUCUGGAAGUAAAGCUGUUUCACUAAGAAUGGCACUGUGGAACUGUAUGAUCUAAGGUAGCAGCAGCAGAUAGCAGCUAUGGCACAUGUUGAUUAAGAGAAAUGGAUGGCAACAUUGGCAAGGCCAAAGCAAGAAAUAGGCUAAGUGGCUGGCAGAUCUGAUGCAGUACCUAUACUUGCCAGGAGACUAACAAUCACAGUGCAUUCAUGCAGUUAAUAGUUACUCUAGACUUUCCCUCUGGCUGAUGUAAAUUUUCUGGUACUGAAACUACAUUGAGAGAACUGCCUAGCCUAAGAGUCAUGUUAAAAUGAGUUAGAUGAUGAUGAUGAUGAUGAUGAUGAUUUCCAGUGAGAGGUUCUAGAUAGGAGUAUGAGCAAAGAGAUGGAAUAUUAAGACUCUUUAAGGUUGGUCUCUAGUUGGAGUGAUUUUUUGAGCCUUUCUUGACAUUUGGGUUGUGUCUUAUCCAUUAUUAUGUAUGCAUAUAUAUAAAAUAUAAGGACCCAAGUUUGUAUAGCAUUGAAAAAAUUUUAAAAUUCAUUUUCAGCUUCUAAUUUUUCCUGCCCCACCUAUCAAGAAAGCAAAACUCCUGUUAAAAAUAUGUGGAGUUAAGCAAAAUAAGGUCCUGCCUGCCUUCUCUGAUGCACAAAACUGCACACCGUCCAUCUGUUCUUUAUCUUACAGAGCACAGUAAUGACUGUUUUCUCUACAAAGUAGGUGGAUGCUCAGUGACUGUUGGUGAGUGUGUGGCUGAUGAAAAGUUAUGGAAUCAAAGUAUGUGAAGGAAAAAAAAGCAAAUAGGCCAGAAGGAUAAUGAAGAAAACAAGAUUUGCCUGAAAGAAUAGGAAGUGAAAUUAACUUUGAAAGCUCCCAUCUUGUACAUAAAAUUGUGAUUGACUUCACUAAGGAGGUUUUCAGCUGGAUGUGAAGAUCCCAUAGAUCUCAGUGAAGAAAGAAGAUUGGAAUUAGAAACAAAUAUCCAAUAUCAUAAAAAAGGUAAUUUCUUUAAAGUCUUAAAGACCUUGGAAAAGAAUACUUUGAUUUACACCUAUUGAUGAAUGAUCCCAUUCACUUUUGAUAACGUACCACAAAAGGAAUUAUGUUAAGAUAAUAGUCAAUCAGUCUCUGAUAUAUGUAAUUAUGAUUUCCCUAGUUCAGAUUUUAUGAAGUCAUUUGAAUUCAUACAAUAGUGUUACUUUGACAUUUAAUUUGAUAUUUAUGCAACAAUAGUAAAAAAAUAAUUAUGUUCUACUUGGAAAAUAUUCAGAAUCCACAUCCUGGCACUCCUUACUGCCAUGUGAACAUCAAAGUGCACAUACGUGAAAAUAAUUGCUGAGGCAACACACAUAAUCACAUUGACAACAAUGAAUGUGUCAAAUGAACAUUUUGUCAAAAUAGUAAUUUGUCUGUUUCUUUGCUAAUAUGUAUAAUUAUUCAUUGUCAAAAAGUAUUCUUAAAAUAUUAACAGGUAGGUUGUCAGAGCCGUGCCGUGGUUUAGCCUCUGAACUUGUAGUUAACUUUAAUCCGAACCCUUAACAUUUGGGAUUUUCCUGUCUAGUAUGUCCUUUUACCUUGUAUAAGGUAAACUACAAUUAUGCUCUGGACCUAAAUCAUACAUUUGAAACCUGUGAUCAGGAAGUUUGAGGGUAAACACUGACAAUACUUUCUGGAGAGAGUAUUCUCUUCCUACAGAGACUGUACUUUUAUUUGUGUUGUGUGAGCUUUCCAGAUAGCAUCUGAUCUGAUGUUAUAUAUUUCUUAUGGGGGCUCAGCAGUUCAUAAUUGCUAAAACAAAUUUCAUAGCCUUGGAGCCUGGAUUACCUGAGAUUUUGGAUCAGUUUCUAAGUUUUUCUCUGUCAAGGGUUAGGCAGAUAUGUAAAUAGAAUUUAUCCUGUUUUGCCAUGACAUGACACCCCACAAAAGGCCACGUAUAAAAGAUAUUUCCUUUCAGCAUCUCACCUGAGAAGAAAAAGUCCCUUUUCCCUGGGAGGAGGUAGUCCUAAGAGAAUUAUGGUUUUCCUCGACCCUCUACAAAGAGAGUAGGAGGCAUAUCGCCUGGUAGAAAAAGGCAUUUAUCAUGACUUUGCAAUCAAAAGAUGGGUUUUCAGAUCUCUAAUAUUUACUAACUAAUGAGUUUGGGUAAAAAACUUCUAGGCCCUGAGUUCCCUCUUCUGCAAAAUGGGAGGAUUAUAUGGCUUUCGAGGUCCCUUCAAGCCCUGGAGCUAUAAUGUAAUCUUAUUUAUAGAAUCAACUAUGUCCAACCUAGGACUCUGAGUUUCCUCUGGUUUACUAAUUUGCUCUAUGAUCUUGGGGAAGUUAAUUAAUUGCUUGAUCUGUAUCUCAUUGUUUUUUUGCAUUUAUCAAAUGGGAUAAGAAUACCUGUGUUAUCUCUUUUAUUAGGCAGUUAUAAAGAUGAAGUACAAAUAAACAAUAAAUGAGAUUCUUUGAAAAGUACA